rnacentral:rRNA from 1 species
UACGUAGGGGGCAAGCGUUAUCCGGAUUUACUGGGUGUAAAGGGAGCGUAGACGGUGAUGCAAGUCAGAAGUGAAAGCCCGGGGCUCAACUCCGGGACUGCUUUUGAAACUGUGUAACUGGAGUGCAGGAGAGGUAAGCGGAAUUCCUGGUGUAGCGGUGAAAUGCGUAGAUAUCAGGAGGAACACCAGUGGCGAAGGCGGCUUACUGGACUGUAACUGACGUUGAGGCUCGAAAGCGUGGGGAUCGAACAGG